ACAGUCACUGCUGCUUCUUUCCCUCUCCCAGAGGCCAUGCUGAGGAUGCAAUUGUCCAUCCCUCCCUUGGGGAUGCCAUUGAUGGCACUUGCCUCAGGCUUACAUGGGUUGUCUCUGCCUGGCCUCGCUCUUCUCAUGGCAUGGGAGCAAAAAGGGACAGGUGGAGCACUCACUGGCUAUGGACAAGAGCUGCCGUUGCUGAAGCUGAAGAGGCCAGAGAAAGAGGCAGCACUGAGGACUCGGUUGUUGGUUCCUCUCUGGGGAUGUUGUUGACUGCCUCUGGCUCAGGUUUGUGUGGGUUGCCUUUGGCCUCAUUCUCUUAGUGGCAUGGGUGAAAAGGGACAGCUGGAGCACUUACUGGCUGUGGACAGGAGCUGCAGUGGCUGAAGCUGGAGAGGCCAGAGAAAGGUAAAGCAGCUGAAGAAUAAAAUAAAGGGGAUCCAGCUGGCAGCUGCCUCCAGCUGCAGACAGGAGACAGCCUGCCUCUCCAGGUGGAUGACAGUCAAGCGACCAGAGCUACAGAGGAGGAAGGGCGGGGGGGAGAGAGACAUGUCCGAACUGUCAAAUUCUCCCAGCAGCUCCAAGAGCGGGAGCUGCAGUGAGUCCUGGACCGUUGGGGCCAUGUUGCCUCUCUACCUGCAUCCUGGUCUCU